ACCUUUUUUAUUUCAAAACUGUCGUUUCCAACAGCUUAAAAUAGUGUACUUAUAUUUUAAAACUUGAAAAUAAGCUCUAAUAUAUCUAUGAAAAAUAACCAACAUUUAGCUCGCCACUUGAUAAAUAUUAUUUUAUUUAAAUCUUUAUGAACAUGAUUAAGUAAAAAGAAAUAUGACUUCUCAUUAAAUUGCGUACUAACCAUUAACAUUGAAAAUUAAGGAAUCCAUAAACUUAAUCUUAGAAGGCGUUUGCUGUUACACAACUAACGCACAUAUUGACUAAUAUUUUCCAGACGGGCUCGCAUUAAAAAUCUUAUAUCCUUACCCUAAAUCUCAUUGUGAUUUUUUAUUUUUAAAAGUAGUUUGUUUUUUAUUAAAUUUUUUGUAUUUUGAUCAUAUCUUCGAUCGAUAGUUUUACAGUUAACAUCAAAUGGCGACGGGGUGGACUUGUUUCGUUUGGGGUGAAUUGCUAUUGGAUUACCCCUAACAUUAGGGUUUUUUGUUGACAAAUCCGGCGAAAUCGAUUGUUAUUCUGCGACCACCGUCUAAAUCUACCCUCAGAGUAAAAAAAAAAUGGGGUGUGCUAUGUAGACUUGUUUAGUUUGAUCCCCAUGCGUGUUACGUGUAGAACAGAUAAUCUAUAAAAUAUACUGUUGUGUGUGGCGACUAAAACGUUGUGUCUUAAAGAUUACCAAACGGUCAAAAAACAUAGACUAAACUCAUUUUAUGAGCUAUUUUUCUCAAUUUAGAUUGGUGUUUCCAUAAGGUUGACGUAGGAGUGAAAUUAAUCCGUUCCAUUUUCCUUAUUUAUUAAAACUCUUACAAAAUUAAGUCACUAUUAUGUGGAUUAUUUUUUUUUUUUAUUUAAAAGAAUUUUUCAUUUAAAAUAUUCAUAUAUUACUUCUAUUGUUACGAUCACGAGCAAGUGUAUUUUUGUUUUACUAAGAAUUAUUAUAGAGAAAUGGUCCACCAGGUGGCGGUAACAAUAUUGUAUAACCUAAGACAUAUUUUAUUUCAACUUGGUUAUACACUUGCUCAGUGGCGCCAAUUGAUAUAUUAUAAUUGAGAAGUAUAUAGAAAAAAAUUUUUAUCUCAUGUCCGUAAUUUAGCGAAAAAAAUACCUAAAUAAUAAGUAAAAUCAAAAGGAAGACAUAAAAAAUUUAGAAAUUUGACGUCGGCACCACUGCACUCACUAGUUACACUUGAAAAUCAAAUUUUAUCAAACUUAUUGACAAUUAUAAUAAAUUGUUAUAACUAAUCAAACAAUUUCAGUAUUAUAUGAUUGUAGUUGUGGUGGUUUAAUUGUUUACAAACAUUCCUAAAAAAAAAAAAAUACCAAUUAAAAUGUAUAUUAUCUUAUAUAUUGUAUCGAAUAAAUUAAUUUUACGCAUUUGCUAAUCUACUAAUCAGAUGACCGAUUUUAUUGUGUGAUUUGACUUUUUGGCGGCAAACGUGGCCAACGCGGACUUUGCAUUCGCGCUGGCCACGACGACAUUUAUCGUGAUUAGCGGUGAAAAUGAAGAGGGAGUGGUCGAAGGUUCGAUUUGAAAAAUAGUAGCCAGUACGCAAUACGACUGUAGGAACGUGUGUAGUCAGCAUUAGGAGUUAGAGGUAGUGAGUUGUGCUACGUUGUCGUUAGCGGAGGUGGUGACGACGACGACGACGACGACUUAGACAUUGCGGAUGACGUGGUAGUCCAGCAGGUGAAGGGAAAAGAAGCUCACGCGCGCGCGCUAGCGUUAGCCCCACCAGUGUGACUCUAUCGGUGUACCGGUAGUGGUGAAUGGUGAUGAGUGUGGACAAGUGGCGCGGCCCGACGGAUGCCGAAUCGAGCCGACUGAACGCGGCGCGUCUACCGCCGGCGAACUCAACGUCCUUUUCCUCGUCGUCGCCUCUACGUACGGUCGUGUGUCCGUGCAACUAUCUGCUACACUGCAUUCUCACAUCACAGCAGCUCACAGGUGUAGAGCCUCACUUGUUCCUUUCAUACUCUGAGAAUAAUCGCGGGAGAAAGCAAUAAAAAAUAAUUCUCGUAAUGUCUGUACAUUUUCUCUCCCUUCAGUGGAAUGUCAUAAAAUUAACAGUAACAAUACUCGAGAAACGAGUACCUUAUUCAAAUACGGCCGGUAGUCGUGGCAUGAGAGGAGAUAAAAAUCCAGAUGGCCACCUCCUGCUGAUGUAAGUGCAUACGUUUACUAGAAACCGAAGAGAAAACAAACGAGAGACAAACCGCUCUCUACUCUGUAACGCGUGUGCCCGUUAGUUUGUUCGCGUUUAAAUAGAAUAUAUUUAUAUGUUUUUUUUUUUAUAUAUAUAUAUACAUUGUUGUGCGUGCGAGAUAGUGUAUUUCUGUGUACAUGUGCACCAGAAGAAGAAGAAAUAACCGGCAAUGACCACUA